CCCUUAGAUGUUCUGGGCCGCACGCGUGCUACACUGAUGCAUACAGCGAGUACUCCCAGCUCCGAGAGGCUGCUGGUAAUCAGCAAUAUGCAUCGUGAUGGGGAUAGAUCUUUGGAAUUAUAGAUCUUGAACGAGGAAUUCCUAGUAAUCGCAGGUCAUCACCCUGCGUUGACUAAGUCCCUGCCCUUUGUACACACCGCCCGUCGCUCCUACCGAUUUCGAGUGAUCCGGUGAAUCAUUCGGACCGCGGCCCCUAGGCAUGCGGAAAGUCUAGUAAACCAUAUCACUUAGAGGAAGGAGAAGUCGUAACA
rnacentral:rRNA from 1 species